AAUGAAGUAUCUGAAUAAAAAAAAAUUAUUUUGAUAGAAUAAAAAAUGUAAUUAAUUUACCUUCAUUA
rnacentral:tRNA from 1 species